rnacentral:rRNA from 1 species
AUUGAACGCUGGCGGCAGGCCUAACACAUGCAAGUCGAACGAGUGGCGGACGGGUGAGUAAUGUCUGGGAAACUGCCUGAUGGAGGGGGAUAACUAAUGGAAACGGUAGCUAAUACCGCAUACCAUCGGAUGUGCCCCGAUGGGAUUAGCUAGUAGGUGGGGUAAAGGCUCACCUAGGCGCCGAUCCCUAGCUGGUCUGAGAGGAUGACCAGCCACACUGGAACUGAGACACGGCCCAGACUCCUACGGGAGGCAGCAGUGGGGAAUAUUUCACAAUGGGCGCAAGCCUGAUUCAGCCAUGCCGCGUGUAUGAAGAAGGCCUUCGGGUUGUAAAGUACUUUCAGCGGGGAGGCGGUACCCGCAGAAGAAGCACCGGCUAACUCCGUGCCAGCAGCCGCGGUAAUAC